GUAGGUGGCAAGCGUUGUCCGGAAUUAUUGGGCGUAAAGCGCGCGCAGGUGGUUCUUUAAGUCUGAUGCGAAAGCCCCCGGGCUCAACCGGGGAGGGUCAUUGGAAACUGGGGAACUUGAGUGCAGGAGAGGAAAGUGGAAUUCCACGUGUAGCGGUGAAAUGCGUAGAUAUGUGGAGGAACACCAGUGGCGAAGGCGACUUUCUGGCCUGUAACUGACACUGAGGCGCGAAAGCGUGGGGAGCAAACAGGAUUAGAUACCCUGGUAGUCCACGCCGUAAACGAUGAGUGCUAAGUGUUGGGGGGUUUCCGCCCCUCAGUGCUGCAGCUAACGCAUUAAGCACUCCGCCUGGGGAGUACGGUCGCAAAGACUG
rnacentral:rRNA from 1 species